rnacentral:lncRNA from 1 species
CAGAAAGGAAAGGAUGUGGGUAACAACAAGAUGUCGUUCAGAUCGGCUGAACACGUGUCCUGAGAACAGGUGAAAGGGAAUGUCUACAAGCUCCGUGAACAUUAAGGACCCAGAAGUGCCAUCACCUGAAGUCAGACCUCAGAAAGGGUUUUAUUGCUGUGAAGAGACACCAUGACUAUGGCAACUCUUAUAAAGGAAAAGAUUUAAUUGGGGCUGGCUUAUAGUUUCAGAGGUUCAGUCCAUUAUCAUCAUAGUAGGAAGUAUGGCUGCAUGCAGGCAGACAUGGUUCCAAAGAAGGAACUGAGAGUUCUACAUCCUGAACUGAAGGCAACAGGAAAGAAACUGUGUGCCACACUGGGCAUAGCUUGAGCAUAGGAAACCUCAAAACCAGCCUCCACUGGGAUACACUUUCAACAAGGCUACACCUCCCCAUGGCCAAGCAUUCAAACGUGCUCAUAGAGGACCUGCUGCAUAGAGUUCUCCCACAGGUACAAGUGUGAUCACACGACUUGUUCAGCAUGUCCUUUGGAACUCACAUCACAGAUACUCCCUCUUGUACCUGACUUAAAUCAAGUGUAACCCUGACUUUGGUGAGAUGAAAUGAUUUCUGCAUUUCCACCGACAGAAUAUGUUGAUUGACAGCUAUGCUUCCAGCCUUGUUCGGAGAUUUGACAAAGGGAUGGAGUGGGGAUAGGGUAAACAGGAGACCAAGCAGGAAAUAACUUUAAUAGGUCACGUUUGUUGAGCAAGCACAAGGACUGAUUCACAUUUCUAAAAUCCACAUUUUGAAAGAGUUGGGUAGUGCUUCACUCUUGUAGUCUUAGCACUAUGGAGAUGGAGACAGGAAGAUGCCUGGGCCCACAGGCCAACCAGCCUAGCUUAUUUGGUAAGUUCCAGGCCAGUGAGAGACCCUGGGUCCAAAAAUGACAUGAUGACUCCUGGGGAGGAACACCUAAGUUUGUCCUCCACCUUAGAUACUUAGCACACAUGUACACAAGCGCACACACACACACAAAUAAGUUAGCAUAACUUCAGGAAUGAAUAUUUAAUCAUGUACUAUUGUCAGUUCACAUGGAAAUAGAACAUUCUUUAUGGUGGCCCUCAAGAUGACUUAUCAAGGUCAUGGACUUUGGGUGAUUAUCUAAUCUUGGUCUGUAAAAAAGAAGAAAAACGAUGUAAAAAUGGGGAGUAAAGUUUAAAAUAGUGAUUAUGCUGAAAAAAACUUGUCAUUAUUUAGCAUAUUUGUCUCUUACUUUCAAAAACUUGUCAUUUAUAUCAAACUAUGGGACCGUAAAAUGAUAAAACACAGUGCGUGACCGUCCUCGGUGAGGACCGUCCUCGGUGAGG